rnacentral:rRNA from 1 species
GUAGGGAAUAUUGCGCAAUGGACGAAAGUCUGACGCAGCGACGCCGCGUGAGUGAUGAAGGCCUUAGGGUCGUAAAGCUCUGUUGAAUGGGAAGAAAAAAAUGACGGUACCAUUCGAGGAAGGACCGGCUAACUUCGUGCCAGCAGCCGCGGUAAUACGAGGGGUCCUAGCGUUGUUCGGAAUCAUUGGGCGUAAAGGGUGUGUAGGUGGCCAUGUAAGUCAGGUGUGAAAGCCCCGGGCCCAACCCGGGAAGUGCACUUGAUACUGCGUGGCUUGAGUACCGAAGAGGGUAGUGGAAUUCCAGGUGUAGUGGUGAAAUACGUAGAUAUCUGGAGGAACACCGGUGGCGAAGGCGGCUACCUGGUCGAGUACUGACACUGAGACACGAAAGCAUGGGGAUCAAACAGGAUUAGAAACCCUGGUAGUCC